rnacentral:lncRNA from 1 species
AUGCACGAUUUCUCCUUCAGCUCAGCUUCUCCCCAAGCGGCCACCUAUAACCACAGCCUCAGCGUUUGUGUGCCCCUGGGGACCCGGCAGACGAGGAUUUCCUCUGCGCUUCUGCUCCUGGCCUGCUGUGGGGCUGUAGGAAGUCAUUUUGCAGCUGUCUGCCUCAGUUUCCCCCACACGCAGACUCUUGAUCCCCGCGCGAGGGAGGGAGGCAGCCAGCGCCGGUGCCUUGCUGCACAGCCCUGCCGAGAUCCCCACCAGUGCUUCCCCCAGCGAAUCCCCCCCGAGGCAAGCAGCAAGAAAAGUCCCCACCACCUGCAUUUUUGGGGCCAGACUUUCUUCAUGGAGAACUGCUUGCAAGAAACACAUUAUGCUCUGGAGUCUGGUGGCCCUAAAUAUUAGAGGAGAUGGCUCAUAGCUCUUUGUGGACUGGUCAAGUUGGCUGCAGUCUGGGCUAAAAGAAACAUGAAGCGGAGCAUGAUCAUCACAGCAGAGCUCCAUGACAAGGUAUGGUGUUGUGCUUGGCCUGUUUUAGCUGAGUUUUCUUGGGGAAUUUUUUUCUCAAGGCUGGUGGAAGACCAGCGGGUAAAAGCAGGAACUGUCUGUGAUUCUUUCAGCUGUGGGCAGAGUAUGUGUAAAGAGAAAUAGAGGUUAUUCUUAGAAAUUUAGGGGAGCAGAUUUCACCAAGACCUGGACCAAGAGUGGAAGGUGUUCCCUUUUAACCUCCUUGCACACCUGACCUAAGGCAGGUAACAUCCCCUUGAGAACAUCCCUGAGCAGCACCACACAAGCUGCUUGGCAGCAUGAAGCAGAUUUAAAAUGCUCCACGGAGCCCCGCUCUGCCUUCCAUACAUCUUCAGUGAAGACUUGUGGUUGUUGGGGUGAGCAGUG